AGGGGACAGUGGGAUAGGGAGGGAAGGUGGGAGGGGGAAGGGAAGAAGGGAAGAGGAAGGAAGGAGGAAGUAGGGAGGGACGGAGGGAGGAGGGAGGUAGGAAGUUGGGAGGGGGAAGAAGAGAAGUGGGAAAGUGAAGGAGAAGGGAGGAGAGGGGGGAGAGUAAAAGGUGGGAAGGGGAAGGAGGGACAAAGGAAGGGGAAGGAGGUAUGAGAGGGAAGGAGGAAGGGAGCCGGAAGGAAAGAGGGAGGAAGGGAGGAGAAAGAAAAGCGGGAGAGGGGAGCAGGGAUGGAAGGGGGAAAGAAUGGGAAGUGGAAGGGAGGAAAGGAAGGUGGGAGGGGGAGGUAGGGAAUAGGAGGAUGGAGGGAGGAAGAGAGGGUGGAAGGUAGGAGAGGGAUGAAUGAAGGCAGGAGGGGGAAGUAGGGAGGAGGUAGGGAAGGAGGAAGGAGGAAGGGUGAGGGAGGGAGGACAAGGGAGAGGGAAGGAAGUAGAGGGAGGGGGAAGGAGGGAGGAGGGAGGGAAGGCAGGAAAGGCCAGGCAUGAGCCUUAGGAACUUCUCUCUGCCUCUGCCAGGCACCACCAGCUCUCUCGUGGGAGGAAUGGGUGCAGACAUGGCCUUCCUACAAUGGCACGGGCACAGCCUGCAGUGGACGAGACAAUUCUCUGGUCGUUAGAGCUCAGCAUGUGCCAGGCAGCCCUCGACGCUCCUGGAGUCUACUGUCCAGGAGACGCAAACACUCCGUUUGGGAGCUACAAAGGAUACUGGAAGUGUCCGUAGUCGAUCAGGAGGAGGCCAGGGUACAGCAGGAUGCAGAAGGCGCUGGCGAUCUAGAAGCAGAAACGGGGGCGAUGAAUCUCGGGCCUCGGGGAGGCAGGGUGGCCCAUAACUGGCAUCGAGCCCCCGAGAGGCUCUUUUCUCUCUGGAGUGGCACGCCUCUGUGGAAGGGAUCACUGCAGCCUGUGAGCAGGUCUGGACCUGAAGAGAAGCAGAAGCCAGCCACUGGGGUACUUGCCUUCUUUUGGCUCGAAGCUUCUUUCAACCAGUAGCAGUACAGCACCACGGCAGGCACGUAAAUCACCAAAUCGGCUACAAAGACUGAAAGACAAAAGGUGGGAGGCCUGUGAGCAUUCUCGAGGGUCCUCAAUGCCCUUCCCACUGCCCCACAGUGCCAGGCAGUGUGAACGAGUGGAUCAGAAAACAUAAUCAAGUUAACGAUAAUGACAACGUGAUAACAUACCAAAAUUUGUGGGAUGAAAAAACUGUAUCUCUAAAUGCUUACAUCAAUAAAAGAGAGAAAGAGCAGAUCACUGAAUUGAGCACGUGGUUUAGAAAGACCAGAAAAAGAACAGAUUUUAAAUUCACAAACACCAAAAUAGAAAUCUGAAAAAUCAAAGGCAAGAUUAACAAAGUGAAAGUUAAAAAACCAUUAAACUAAUAAAACAAGGAGAUAGUUUUAGGGGAAAAAAAGAAAUGAUGGGUUAUUUUGACUUCUUAAGAAA